rnacentral:rRNA from 1 species
CACUAAGAGAGGUUUGCUCUUAGCAGUACCUGCCCAGUGCAAAGUUGUAAACGGCCGCCCUAGCGUGAGGGUGCCAAGGUAGCGAAAUUCCUUGCCUUUUAAUUGUAGGCCUGCAUGAAUGGAUUGACGAGGGUCAAACUGUCUCUUGCUUUGUAUGACGAAAUUGGACUGAAGGUGAAGAUACCUUCAUGUAAAAGUUAGACAAGAAGACCCCGUGCAGCUUUUAAAAAUUUACUUAUUAAGGGUUGUAAGAUUUUUAGGUGGGGCGCCUAGGAAGUAAAACUUAACCUUCUUAUUUGUUAAAAGUAACUGUCUGGUGUAGACCCGGCAAGUCCGAUCAUGGGAGAAGUUACGCCGGGGAUAACAGGCUUAUCCAUUAGUAGAGCUCGUAUUGGCUAAUGGGAUUGGCACCUCGAUGUUGAAUUAAGGAUGAUAUCUCUAAGGCGUAGAGGCUUUGGAAGUGGGUCUGUUCGACCUUUAAUACCUU